GAUGAACGCUGGCGGCGUGCCUAAUACAUGCAAGUCGAACGAAACUUCUUUAUCACCGAGUGCUUGCACUCACCGAUAAAGAGUUGAGUGGCGAACGGGUGAGUAACACGUGGGCAACCUGCCCAAAAGAGGGGGAUAACACUUGGAAACAGGUGCUAAUACCGCAUAACCAUAGUUACCGCAUGGUAACUAUGUAAAAGGUGGCUAUACUACCGCUUUUGGAUGGGCCCGCGGCGCAUUAGCUAGUUGGUAGGGUAAAGGCUUACCAAGGCAAUGAUGCGUAGCCGAAUUGAGAGGUUGAUCGGCCACAUUGGGACUGAGACACGGCCCAAACUCCUACGGGAGGCAGCAGUAGGGAAUCUUCCACAAUGGGCGAAAGCCUGAUGGAGCAACGCCGCGUGGGUGAAGAAGGUCUUCGGAUCGUAAAACCCUGUUGUUAGAGAAGAAAGUGCGUGAGAGUAACUGUUCACGUUUCGACGGUAUCUAACCAGAAAGCCACGGCUAACUAC
rnacentral:rRNA from 1 species